rnacentral:rRNA from 1 species
UAACACAUGCAAGUCGAGCGGCAGCGACAUAAACAAUCCUUCGGGUGCGCUUAUGGGCGCGAGCGGCGGACGGGUGAGUAAUGCCUAGGAAAUUGCCCUGAUGUGGGGGAUAACCAUUGGAAACGAUGGCUAAUACCGCAUGAUGCCUACGGGCCAAAGAGGGGGACCUUCGGGCCUCUCGCGUCAGGAUAUGCCUAGGUGGGAUUAGCUAGUUGGUGAGGUAAGGGCUCACCAAGGCGACGAUCCCUAGCUGGUCUGAGAGGAUGAUCAGCCACACUGGAACUGAGACACGGUCCAGACUCCUACGGGAGGCAGCAGUGGGGAAUAUUGCACAAUGGGCGCGAGCCUGAUGCAGCCAUGCCGCGUGUAUGAAGAAGGCCUUCGGGUUGUAAAGUACUUUCAGUCGUGAGGAAGGUUCAUACGUUAAUAGCGUAUGGAUUUGACGUUAGCGACAGAAGAAGCACCGGCUAACUCCGUG